UGUAGCAAUGCGGAGCUUUAACAUGCAGUCGAACGGUAACAGGGAGCUUGCUCCGCUGACGAGUGGCGAACGGGUGAGUAAUAUAUCGGAACGUACCCAAGAGUGGGGGAUAACGUAGCGAAAGUUACGCUAAUACCGCAUACGAUCUAUGGAUGAAAGCAGGGGACCUUCGGGCCUUGUGCUCCUGGAGCGGCCGAUAUCUGAUUAGCUAGUUGGUGAGGUAAAGGCUCACCAAGGCGACGAUCAGUAGCUGGUCUGAGAGGACGACCAGCCACACUGGAACUGAGACACGGUCCAGACUCCUACGGGAGGCAGCAGUGGGGAAUUUUGGACAAUGGGCGCAAGCCUGAUCCAGCAAUGCCGCGUGAGUGAAGAAGGCCUUCGGGUUGUAAAGCUCUUUUGUCAGGGAAGAAACGGUUGUGGCUAAUAUCCUUUGCUAAUGACGGUACCUGAAGAAUAAGCACCGGCUAACUACGUGCCAGCAGCCGCGGUAAUACGUAGGGUGCAAGCGUUAAUCGGAAUUACUGGGCGUAAAGCGUGCGCAGGCGGUUUUGUAAGUCUGUCGUGAAAUCCCCGGGCUCAACCUGGGAAUUGCGAUGGAGACUGCAAGGCUAGAAUCUGGCAGAGGGGGGUAGAAUUCCACGUGUAGCAGUGAAAUGCGUAGAGAUGUGGAGGAACACCGAUGGCGAAGGCAGCCCCCUGGGUCAAGAUUGACGCUCAUGCACGAAAGCGUGGGGAGCAAACAGGAUUAGAUACCCUGGUAGUCCACGCCCUAAACGAUGUCUACUAGUUGUCGGGUUUUAAUUAACUUGGUAACGCAGCUAACGCGUGAAGUAGACCGCCUGGGGAGUACGGUCGCAAGAUUAAAACUCAAAGGAAUUGACGGGACCCGCACAAGCGGUGGAUGAUGUGGAUUAAUUCGAUGCAACGCGAAAACCUUACCUACCUUGACAUGUCAGAUACGGAGAGAUCUGGCAGUGCCCGAAAGGACUGACACAGUGCUGCAUGCUGUCGUCAGCUCGUGUCGUGAGAUGU
rnacentral:rRNA from 1 species